GACGAACGCUGGCGGCGUGCUUAACACAUGCAAGUCGAACGGAAAGGCCCUGCUUUUGUGGGGUGCUCGAGUGGCGAACGGGUGAGUAACACGUGAGUAACCUGCCCUUGACUUUGGGAUAACUUCAGGAAACUGGGGCUAAUACCGGAUAGGAGCUCCUGCUGCAUGGUGGGGGUUGGAAAGUUUCGGCGGUUGGGGAUGGACUCGCGGCUUAUCAGCUUGUUGGUGGGGUAGUGGCUUACCAAGGCUUUGACGGGUAGCCGGCCUGAGAGGGUGACCGGCAACAUUGGGACUGAGAUACGGCCCAGACUCCUACGGGAGGCAGCAGUGGGGAAUAUUGCACAAUGGGCGGAAGCCUGAUGCAGCAACGCCGCGUGCGGGAUGACGGCCUUUGGGUUGUAACCGCUUUCGCCUGUGACGAAGCGUGAGUGACGGUAAUGGGUAAAGAAGCACCGGCUAACUACGUG
rnacentral:rRNA from 1 species